CUGGACCACGUUCGCACCAAAAGUAUGAAGAAGGCAGCCUGGAUCAUCAUUGAAAAGUACUAUACCUGCUGGGCAACUACUUCCACAUGAGCAAAGGCAUGUGCGAGGAAGUUGCCAUUAUUCCCAACAAGAAGCUCCACAACAAGAUGGCAGGCUAUGUCACACAUCUGAUGAAAGAGAUUUAGAGAGGUCCAGUGAGGGUUAUCUCCAUCGAGUUGCAGGAGGAGGGCAGAGAAAGGAGAGAUAAUUAUGUUUCCGAAUUAUCACAACUCUGGAUCAGGAGAUCAUUGAAGAGGAUCUGGACACUGAGGAAAUGCUGAGGGUUUUGGACUUUGGCAGUCUGCCGAAACUGCAAGUCAAUCAGCCUACAGUUAGGAUGAAUUUUAAAAUACCACGUGGAGCUGUUUGA
rnacentral:lncRNA from 1 species